AUUGAACGCUGGCGGAAUGCUUUACACAUGCAAGUCGAACGGUAACAGGUCUUCGGAUGCUGACGAGUGGCGAACGGGUGAGUAAUGUAUCGGAACGUGCCCAGUAGUGGGGGAUAACUACUCGAAAGAGUGGCUAAUACCGCAUGAGAACUGAGGUUGAAAGCGGGGGACCUUCGGGCCUCGCGCUACUGGAGCGGCCGAUAUCAGAUUAGGUAGUUGGUGGGGUAAAGGCCUACCAAGCCGACGAUCUGUAGCUGGUCUGAGAGGACGACCAGCCACACUGGGACUGAGACACGGCCCAGACUCCUACGGGAGGCAGCAGUGGGGAAUUUUGGACAAUGGACGCAAGUCUGAUCCAGCAAUGCCGCGUGCAGGACGAAGGCCUUCGGUUGUAAACUGCUUUUGUACAGAACGAAAGGGACUCUGGUUAAUACCUGGGGCAGAUGACGGUACGUGUAAGAAUAAGCACCGGCUAACUACGUGCCAGCAGCCGCGGU
rnacentral:rRNA from 1 species